rnacentral:lncRNA from 1 species
AUGCCGUAUCCUGCCGCCCGUUUUACCCGCGGGAAAGCCGAGGCCCGGUGCUGUAUUCUGCCGCCCAUUUUACCCGCGGGGAAGCUGAGGCCCAGUGCUGUUUAAUAUCUUACUCAUGUUCACUUGAUGAGAAAGUGACAGAUCUGAGACAAACCCAGUUCUAGAGGUUAUGACACCAGCCAUGGAAGAGCAGAGAGGCCAAUGAGGUGGGGAGGUUGGAAACAAAAGGCCUUCUCCACCCCAGCUUGACCAACCCAAAAGCUGGAAGGCAAGGAAGACCUAGAUCGACAGAAAAGAAAUGAGUCAACGAUGGUGCAGGUGAUCUGUGCAGUGCUGUGCAGGGGAUGGGUCAAAGCUGUGAUGCUGGCAUGCAACUAACUCACCAUUGUGAGCCAAUCACAAAAGCAGAAACUUGGCCAAGCUGAAAGGGACCAGCUUGACGAAGCUUCUGCUUUUGUGACUGUCUCCUAAUGAAACCAGAGCACCUCAGAAGAUCAAGGCUUCCAAAUUCUCCUGGGGGAACAGACGUCAGCCAUUCAGCACAAAGGAAACUUCCUUCUCUGUAUGUCAGAGGAAGACAUAAUUGUGCCAUUUCCUUCUUGAAGAAGUUUACAAACAUUUGCAAGUUGUCAAAAAUAAUUAGUCUAAAAUUGUUUCAUAAACCGUGGAAUGAAACAGGACGUGCCUUGUUGAGAUCAAAGGGCUUCUGUUACCUUCUUGUAAACUCAAAUGAAAUUCUUUUGAAAGUAAAC